UAAUUUUUGUAAUUUUGAAAAUAAAUAUGAGCCCAUAGACCCAAAACACCCUAACCCUCACAUCAUUUUCUCUCCCUCUCUCUAUCAGCCGCCUUACCCCUAGUCCAUCUCUCUCUAUCUCCGUCUCGCAGCCAUCUCUCUCCCAUGGUCUCUUUCGAUGACGCAGAAAAUGACGGCUUAAGUCCUCCACACCCUUCUUACCCUCUCCAUCUCUCAGCCCAGCUCUGUCUAUCUAUCUCUAUCUCUAUCUCUCUCUCUCUCUCUCUCUCUCUCUCUCUCUCUCUCUUUGUAUCAGGCAUUGCCGACGGUGUGGUGGGCUCGACAACAAAGGCAAAGGCAGAGGCAGGGGUCUCGGCUCCCUCACUCCUUUGUCCUCCCAUUUCUCUCUCUCGUUAUUUUUUUUUUUGCAGAUGGUGCUCAUGGUUGUGGUGAUUGUUCUAGGUGGCCAUGGUUCGGGGUGGUGGUGGCAGCGGGCUAUGGCUUAGGAUGAAAUUCAUGGCAGCCAAUCCUUACUUUGGAAAGACAGUGACGAGGGUGAGUACAAUGACAAGAAGAAGAAAGAUAUGUUGUUUGACAACGAAUUUAGUGUUUUAUUUUAUUUGUAAUUUUUAUUAGAGUAAAUGAUUAUUGGUUGAGUGGUUAAUUAUUUAAUUUGUAAAUCAGGUAAUAUAUAUUUUAAGGUCAAGACGAUUAUGUUUAUAAACAAGGCUAUAUAAUUUUUGAGUCAAGUAGUAGUGUUAUAUUUGUUCUAAAAUUUGUUUGAUUAGAUUUGUAAAUACUUUGUAUAA